AGCUCCCCCUUGCUCAGAACUAACUCCCCCUUUCUUUGGACUCACAUCUCCCGCCUUGUUUCCCAAGUCACUAACAAGUGGAUUCAGAGGCGUUUCCGUUUCCGUAGUUGUGUGGUCAUGAUCAAACAUCAGAGACGCAUGAAGAUAAACAGGCACAACCGGUGAAACGUCUCAUCUUUGUCUGGCUGAGCAAAUGGAUACUGAUCUUCAUGAAAAACAACAUCUCUCGAGACAAACAAAUUUUC
rnacentral:lncRNA from 1 species